rnacentral:sRNA from 1 species
UCAACUUCCAGGCCUCUUCAUAUGUGUC